AAGAGGAUGGUGCAAUGGUAGCACGUCGGUCUCCGAAGCCGAAAACGGGAGUUCGAUCCUCCCUCUUCUUG
rnacentral:tRNA from 1 species